GACGAACGCUGGCGGCGUGCCUAAUACAUGCAAGUCGAACGCAGUGGGGACGGGUGAGUAACACGUGGGUAACCUCCCAUCAGAGGGGAUAACACUUGGAAACAGGUGCUAAACCGAUACUGAUGGCUGGACCCGCGGUGCAUUAGCUAGUAGGUGGGGUAACGGCUCACCAAGGCGACGAUCCCUAGCUGGUCGGAGAGGGUGAUCAGCCACACUGGGACUGAGACACGGCCCAGACUCCUACGGGAGGCAGCAGUGGGGAAUCUUGCGCAAUGGACGCAAGCCUGAUGCAGCAAUGCCGCGUGUAUGAAGAAGGCCUUAGGGUUGUAAAGUUCUGUCAGCAGGGAGGCGUUACCCACAGAGGAAGCACCGGCUAACUCCGUGCCAGCAGCCGCGGUAAUAC
rnacentral:rRNA from 1 species